CCUACGGGUGGCAGCAGUGAGGAAUAUUGGUCAAUGGGCGCGAGCCUGAACCAGCCAAGUAGCGUGAAGGAUGACUGCCCUACGGGUUGUAAACUUCUUUUAUAAAGGAAUAAAGUGAGGCACGUGUGCCUUUUUGUACGUACUUUAUGAUUAAGGUUCGGCUAACUCCGUGACAGCAGCCGCGGUAAUACGGAGGAUCCGAGCGUUAUCCGGAUUUAUUGGGGGUAAAGGGAGCGUAGAUGGGUUGGUAAGUCAGUUGUGAAAGUUUGCGGCUCAACCGUAGAAUUGCACUUGAUACUGGCAGCCUUGAGUGCAGUAGAGGUAGGCGGAAUUCGUGGUGUAGCAGUGAAAUGCUUAGAUAUCACGAAGAACUCCGAUUGCGAAGGCAGCUUACUAGACUGCCACUGACGUUGAUGCUCGAAAGUGUGGGUAGCAAACAGGAUUAGAUACCCGAGUAGUC
rnacentral:rRNA from 1 species